rnacentral:rRNA from 1 species
UACGAUGGGAGGGCAGCUAGGUCGUUCGGAUCCGAAUUGGUGGCGUAAAAGCGCGUGUAGGCGGCUUUGUAAGUUAGAGGUGAAAGCCCGGGGCUCAACUCCGGAAUGCCUUUAAGACUGCAUCGCUUGAAUCCAGGAGAGGUGAGUGGAAUUCCGAGUGUAGAGGUGAAAAUUCGUAGAUAUUCGGAAGAACACCAGUGGCGAAGGCGCUCACUGGACUGGUAUUGACGCUGAGGUGCGAAAAGCGUGGG